rnacentral:rRNA from 1 species
UACAGAGGUCCCAAGCGUUGUUCGGAUUCAUUGGGCGGAAAGGGUGCGUAGGCGGCGCGGUAAGUCGGGUGUGAAAUCUCGGAGCUUAACCCCGAAACUGCAUUCGAUACUGCCGUGCUUGAGGACUGGAGAGGAGACUGGAAUUUACGGUGUAGCGGUGAAAUGCGUAGAUAUCGUAAGGAAGACCAGUGGCGAAGGCGGGUCUCUGGACAGUUCCUGACGCUGAGGAGCGAAAGCGUGGGGAGCGAACAGG